CCUACGGGUGGCAGCAGUGAGGGAUAUUGGUCAAUGGGGGAAACCCUGAACCAGCAACGCCGCGUGAGGGAAGACGGUUUUCGGAUUGUAAACCUCUGUCCUCUGUGAAGAUCAUGACGGUAGCAGAGGAGGAAGCUACGGCUAACUACGUGCCAGCAGCCGCGGUCAUACGUAGGGAGAAAGCUUUGUCCGGAUAUACUGGGUGUAAAGGGUGCGGAGGCGGCCUUGCAUGUAAGAGGUGCAAUCCAUGGGGUUAACCCGUGACCUGCUUUUGAAACUGUAGGGCGUGAGUGAAGUAGAGGCAGGCGGAAUUCCCGGUGUAGCGGUGAAAUGCGUAGAGAUCGGGAGGAACACCAGUGGCGAAGGCGGCCUGCUGGGCUUUAACUGACGCUGAAGCACGAAAGCGUGGGUAGCAAACAGGAUUAGAUACCCUUGUAGUC
rnacentral:rRNA from 1 species